UGCAGUCGAGCGGAGUGAUGGUGCUUGCACUAUCACUUAGCGGCGGACGGGUGAGUAAUGCUUAGGAAUCUGCCUAUUAGUGGGGGACAACAUCUCGAAAGGGAUGCUAAUACCGCAUACGUCCUACGGGAGAAAGCAGGGGAUCACUUGUGACCUUGCGCUAAUAGAUGAGCCUAAGUCGGAUUAGCUAGUUGGUGGGGUAAAGGCCUACCAAGGCGACGAUCUGUAGCGGGUCUGAGAGGAUGAUCCGCCACACUGGGACUGAGACACGGCCCAGACUCCUACGGGAGGCAGCAGUGGGGAAUAUUGGACAAUGGGGGGAACCCUGAUCCAGCCAUGCCGCGUGUGUGAAGAAGGCCUUAUGGUUGUAAAGCACUUUAAGCGAGGAGGAGGCUCUUUUGGUUAAUACCCAAGAUGAGUGGACGUUACUCGCAGAAUAAGCACCGGCUAACUCUGUGCCAGCAGCCGCGGUAAUACAGAGGGUGCAAGCGUUAAUCGGAUUUACUGGGCGUAAAGCGCGCGUAGGCGGCCAAUUAAGUCAAAUGUGAAAUCCCCGAGCUUAACUUGGGAAUUGCAUUCGAUACUGGUUGGCUAGAGUGUGGGAGAGGAUGGUAGAAUUCCAGGUGUAGCGGUGAAAUGCGUAGAGAUCUG
rnacentral:rRNA from 1 species